ACCCGCUGAACUUAAGCAUAUCAAUAAGCGGAGAAAAAGAAACUAACAAGGAUUCCCCUAGUAACGGCGAGUGAAGCGGGAAUAGCUCAAAUUUGAAAUCUUAUGGGGUCUCCCCGUACGAAUUGUAGUUUAAAGAAAAGUUUUCGGGGGCGGCUUGGGUACAAGUCCUUUGGAAAGAGGCAUCACAGAGGGUGAGAAUCCCGUCUAUGAUCCAAUGUCCGCGCCUAUGUGAUACUUUUUCUAAGAGUCAGGUAGUUUGGGAUUGCUGCCUAAAAUGGGUCGUAAGUAUGAUCUAAAGCUAAAUAUUGGCGAGAGACCGAUAGCGAACAAGUACCGUGAGGGAAAGAUGAAAAGAACUUUGAAAAGAGAGUGAAACAGUACGUGAAAUUGCCAAAAGGGAAACGCUUGGAACCAGUAUUGUUUGCAGGUAAUCAAGCACACGUUCCGAAAGGGCCGCGUGUGGUGCACUUGCUUGCAGGCAGGCCAACAUCAGUUUGGUCUGGGGUAAAAAGCCAGAGAAAGGUAGCUUGGACUUGUUCAAGUGUUAUAGUCUCUGGUCAUGCCUUGGGCUGGACUGAGGACUGCAGCGUUAUUUGGGGACCCGAUUGCCUCUUGAAGCACUUUCCUUAGACAGCAUGCUGACUUUGGGAAUGUCUAGGGAGCCCGGUCGGUUUACCACACCAGCGCUUAGGAUGUUGGCGAAAUGGUUCCAAACGACCCGUCUUGAAACACGG
rnacentral:rRNA from 1 species